CCACCACCAAUCUCGAUACUGUCACAAAUCCUACCUCUCCUUCACCGCCUACUCCUUCCACAACACCUCUCCACGGGACUGUUGAUGUUGAAGCUUCUGGGCCUAUUUCAGUAGUCUACAGCCGAAGGACUUGUUCCAG